UACGACUACAUAUCAGGCAUAUCAAUAAGCGGAGGAAAAGAAACUAACUAGGAUUCCCUUAGUAACGGCGAGUGAAGCGGGAAGAGCUCAAAUUUGAAAUCUUCAAGGUUUUACCUUGACGAAUUGUAGUUUAAAGAAGUGUUUUCUGUUGGUGUUUUGGUAAAAGUUCUUUGGAAUAGGACAUCAUAGAGGGUGAGAAUCCCGUAUUUGACCAUUACUUCCAGCGUUGUGAUACACUUUCAAAGAGUCGGAUUGUUUGGGAAUGCAGUCCAAAAUGGGUGGUAAAUUUCAUCUAAAGCUAAAUAUUGGCGAGAGACCGAUAGCGAACAAGUACCGUGAGGGAAAGAUGAAAAGAACUUUGAAAAGAGAGUUAAACAGUACGUGAAAUUGUCAAAAGGGAAGCGUUUGACACCAGUGUUGUUUCGUCGAAAAUCAAUUAAAAAGAGUUGGAUUUUGUAUUGUUAAGACCUUAUCAGCUUACUGUACUUUUUUCUUGCUCUUUUUAAUGCACUUUUCGUUUAACAAGUCAACAUCAAUUUCUUUUGUUGUAAAAGGGUCAUUGGAAGGUGGCUCUCACUUCGGUGAAAGUGUUUAUAGCCUUUGGCUUCUACAAUCGGAGAGAUUGAGGUCUGCAGCGUAGAUCCUUCGGGGUUAGAUACGUAGAUGCUAAGUUAUAGUUUUUUAUAGACAACUUGUUGACUAUGAUUAAUCAUGUAGCUUACUCGUUUACGCUAUUUUACCUACGCUUAGGAUGUUGAAUCUGUGCGAGACUAC
rnacentral:rRNA from 1 species